UCACUUACUCUGAGGCCUGGAGAGCGUUCUCCUGCCAGGUGACCAUGACGAGGAAGGCGAUCGCAACAGUCACGAUCAUCACCAGGAUGUUCACCCACGGCCUGGAAGGUGCAAGGUACAUAUUGUAAGCUUAUAGGACAGUGACCUGGAAAUAAUCACAUCUGGACCAGACAACCAGUGACUGAUAUUGUGAGCAAAGAUCCACUCCUUGAGAGUAUGAUGACAUGGUAUCUGAACACUUGACCAACCGAUGUAUGAGAGUUGCCUCACACAAUCAGAUGGGAUCAAUUCUAACAUGGUGGGUGGGACGGGAUGGGUGCCGUGAAUGUCCCUCAAAUGACUUGCUUUCAUGGUGGAUCCUAUGCAUAAGGGGUCACUUUACAUUUACUUCAGAUCUUUAGCAUGCAGGUACAGGAUUGCAAUGCAAUAUAUUAUUCCUGAUUAAAAAAAAUAGUUUCAGAUACAAUUUUUGCCGAUCCUUGAAUUAAAAUCCUGUAAAGUUUA